rnacentral:lncRNA from 1 species
UUUUUUUUUUUUUUUUUUUCUUCUUGUUUAGUCUGAGCAGGCAUAGAUAGACAUCAUAGCAGUAGGCUUUCAUUUUAAUGGACUGUUUCUCUGUACCAGUCUGCCUCACCUCUGCCUGUAUUGAAUACGGUCCCUCAGAUCCCAGGCUUCUGGGGACAGUGGGAAGUGUUCCUUCCCUGCCUCCCUUCAAACGCCAUUGGGAAUGUAGAGGUUAAAGUCCUUUGGAAGGACUGAGUAAAGACAGCAGGAUGCUCCUUUCUGCAGCAGGACGGGCCACUUGUAUCAAAGUAACCAAAUGCACGUUUGUACUGAAAAGGCUGAAAAGAGAGGUGAUUUGUAUAGCAUAGUGUGUCGAAAUGAAGCUUUUUUUUUUUUUUUUUAAAUCGGGAAAUUUUAUUUUAGUGUACAGGAAGGACCAGUCACUAUUCUUGUAAGAACACUAGUAUGUCACUUGCCAGUCUUGGUGUGGACAUUUUCAGGGUUGUGCUGGGCACACUUAACCUUUGAGAGAUUCCAUGGGCACAGUUGCAAGUCAGCCUGCAUGGCUCGGAACUGGUCUCCAUUUGAGACAGAAAAGGCAUCCUCAUGAGCUGCCACGAUAGGCUUCUUUGUGGGGGAAAUCGUUGAGUCUUACUUAGCAUUUCACAUUUUGAAUCUCACUAGUUCCUGUAGAUGUAGGGCUCAGAGGCCCGUGUCAGCCUUCUCUGGCCAACACUGGGGUUGGGCAGCCAUUCACUUAAGUCCGCAUCAGAGAAAAACUGCCUGUGCUCCAGUUCCGGGGUGAGCAUCUUGUCGGCUGCCCCCUCUCGGGGCUCCCCGCCCUUCACACAUCUUACUCCUGUCUCACUGCACUCUGGUUGGAAUUGUCUAGCUGUGUUUGUGUAGCUGCUGGGCGCACUGGGCUGCUCACUUGUUCGUGGAGUUUUUGGGUUCCCACGUAAGUUUUUCUGUGAGUCAUCCUAGUCUCUCUGCUAAGUGUCCCGGCUUUCCUAAGUAUGGCCACUCUGGAUGUAAAUAAGAAUACUCCUCUGUACAAGUAUUUUUGUGAAAAAUGUAACUUGUUAGUGUAACUAUUUAAAAUAUGAUGACGUUAAGAAUACUUGUGAAAAAAUUAAAAUAUUACCUCUCCGUUUUUGCU